UACAGAGGGUGCGAGCGUUAAUCGGAAUUACUGGGCGUAAAGGGCGCGUAGGCGGUUGGAUAAGUCAGCUGUGAAAACCACGGGCUUAACUCGUGGCCUGCAGUUGAGACUGUCUGGCUUGAGUGUGGGAGAGGAGAGUGGAAUUCCUGGUGUAGCGGUGAAAUGCGUAGAUAUCAGGAGGAACACCGGUGGCGAAGGCGGCUCUCUGGACCACAACUGACGCUGAGGCGCGAAAGCUAGGGGAGCAAACAGG
rnacentral:rRNA from 1 species